GCCUGAACUGCAAUUUGACAAACAGAUAUGAGUUGGCCUGGUAUCACCAGUAUUCUCAACAACUAACUCAACUAAUAUCUGCUAAGACCAGCAGUGUAGCGGGAAGAAAACUGCUAGUUAGGUACAAUCAAAACUGGAGUCGUCUGACAGUGAAAGCAGAUGUGGAGAUCAACACAGUCUCGCUAGUUAUUUCUGAUCUAACAGAGCCAGAUUCAGGUCUUUAUUUCUGUGGAACAAAAUCAGUGACUUCAGAAAUGCACUUCAACAAACCCGUAAGACUACAGAUGGAGGACAAGCUGACAGACAGAGAGGACAAAGUUAAUUCCGUCACAGAUCCGCCAGAGGAUGCUGAGCUCACAGGUGAGAGCGGAAAUCAUUCUUACUUGAGUAUCAUUUUUCAUAACUCUAUAGUUC
rnacentral:lncRNA from 1 species